AGUUGCUGCUUGGGACGCGGGCUGCGUGGUCUGUGUGCAGCGUUGCGGUUUUGCUGUCACGUACCUUCCCGGAGCCUGGGACUGAGGGGUCGCGCGCGUGUGCGUGUGUUGUGUGAGGGACAGAGGGACUCGGGCAGGGCCGUCCCCUGCCCCCUUUUCCCUUAGCGGAGGCGGCAGUCCGCACUCUUGUUUGCUCGCCGCCCACUUGGGAGCGGGCUCGGGGUGCGGAGUGCGUCUUCUGUUUUUGAUUUUGGAACUUGUGAGAGUCUUUUUUUCCCCCCCCACUCUUCCAUUUUUUUAUUUUUCUUUUGGCUUGGUGCCUCUAGGGCUGGUUUCCCCGGCGUCUGAGUAACCGCUUCCUGACCCCGGUCGCCAGCCCUGCCCCAGCUUGCACCCGGCUCUGCCCCUGGCCCCGGAGGGUGGGAAGCCUUGCCUAGUGGGUCUCUGAAGCGUAGCCGCACCUGCCUCAGUAUGCACGGGGUCAACGACCCUCCUCUUUUUAUAAAAGACAUUAAGGCCGGACUGAAAAACUUAAAUGUCGUCUUUAUUGUCCUGGAGAUAGGACGAGUGACCAAAACUAAAGACGGCCACGAAGUGAGAUCCUGCAAAGUAGCUGAUAGAACGGGAAGCAUCACUAUUUCUGUGUGGGAUGAGAUCGGAGGGCUCAUACAGACAGGGGAUAUUAUUCGGUUGACCAGAGGAUAUGCAUCAAUGUGGAAAGGAUGCCUGACACUUUAUACUGGAAGAGGUGGUGAACUUCAAAAAAUUGGAGAAUUUUGUAUGGUGUAUUCAGAAGUGCCAAAUUUCAGUGAGCCAAACCCAGAUUAUAGAGGACAGCAGAACAAAGGGAUACAAAGUGAACAGAAGGAUAAAAUGAGCACAAGUACCUUUGGACCAACGGGAAAUGGUGUUCAGACCAGCCCUGAAUCUAGGGGAUAUCAUCUUCCAUAUGGUAGAAGCAAUGGCCCAGGACCCAUCAGUCCACAGCUACCAGGAGCAUCUAGUAGUCAAACAGUCAGGCCCACAAUAAGUAAUGCCAGAGAUCCGAGAAGAGCCUUUAGAAGAUGACCUGAGCCAAAGAGACACAUGUAGUUUUUAAACUACGUGACCUACUUGAACACUUAGUGCACUUUUAUUUAUUCUUAACUGUGAAAACUUUGUCUCUUACGGGUUUCCUUUUAUAUUUUUGGUUUGUUAAAAAGAGUGGUUGGUUUUUACUGAAAAACUGUUAGGCUGCUCAGUUACAUCCUAUUGAAGAAUAGGAACUCUGAAAGCAGGAACAUUUAUUUUUAGAGCAAGAACUUACUGGGUAUCACUUGAAAACCUGUCCCUGUGUCCAGGGUGAGUUAAGACACCAGCUUAUAUAUAGCCUCUGUGAGUCUGGCUUCUGCAUAAACUUUGUAAUGUUUGCCAUAAUGUUUAAUGGAAAAAAGUCUUUUUUUUAAACUUGGACAUUGCUACUUGAAGCAAUAACCACUUCAAGCCAGAAACUUGGUCAGUGCAGACAGCAUUUUUGAGUGUUGAUCCAGGAAUGACUUGACUUCAUAGAGUUACUGCCUGCCAUUAAGAUUUUUCCAAGGACAAAAUCAUCCUAAACUCUUGUUUAAUGACCAGAUAACCAGAUUCUUUAUCAGAAUUGUGGAAUAAAAUGGGUAAUGUAACAAGUAAUUUUUAGAAGAAAACUGUUUAAGAUAAUGUUCUUAACAUUUGUUGCAAACAUUGAAGAUUACACUGAAGAAAAAUUUACAGCUGAGUCCAUGAAUAUUUUAUUUUUGAAGUUACCAUGUUAAAUGUUGGAGUGUAGUCGGAGGGAUUGAAGGGAGCUAUAGCACCUUAUUAGACGGUCUCAUUGAUACUAGUUGUAGUAUUUUUGAGACAGGGUCCUCCUGUGUAACCCUGGCUGGGUUGGAACUUGUUAUAUACAUCAGGUGUGUCUCUGAACUAUAGAUUGGCCCACCUCUCUCUUCCAGGUGCUGGGAUUAAAGUUGUGCAGCACCACAUGAGGCUAACCUGAUUAUUUACAAAGAAUACUCAUGUAAACAUGGAGAAGCCCAGUCCAUUUUCCUGAAGUUGUAAUCAGCUUCAUCCUGGCUGCUCCCUAGCUCUGGAAACUUCUAAAACCAAAGCAAAGUGAAAUCCAAACAAUAAUGAAUAAUUGCCUUUCCAAUCUUCUUGGAUACCACUCAUCAAGACGUAACAGAAGAGUGUUAACCUUCCUCUGGUGCCUUCAGUUAUCAACGAUGACAAAUUUCAACAAGACCCAAUGAAACACAAAACACAGUAUAGAAAUGCACUUCUAGGAUUGGGCCCCAUUACUGUUCCUAGGCACAGAACAAACACAUGGUCAGACUAGUCUUCUCCCUUUUAUCUGGCCGGGUUUACAGGGAGUUGCCACAGGAUAGAAAGUAAAAGAUGAAGUCUACAUGCCCAAAGGAUGAAGUUUGCCUCCCAAAAGCACUUUUAAAGACAAAAAAGUUUUAUGUAUUUAUUAUGUAUACAGUGUUCUGUGUGUAUGCAUGCUUGUAGGUCAGAAGGGGCACCAGAUCUCAUAGAUGGUUAUCAGCCACUGUGGGAUUGCUGGGAUUAAACUCAGGACCUCUGGAAGAACAGCCAUUGCUCUUAACCUCUGAGCCAUCACAGAAGUAUAGUUUUCCUAUACUUGACCAACUCUGUUUUGCUUUUUCUGGGUAGUCUUAGGAACUGUGUUAAACAUGAAGAGUGAUGAAUUUUUAAAGGAUAGUUUGAAGGUUAACUAGCCCUUUUUAAAUUUUUUUUAAAACUUGAGAUUACAUACCAAGUGAUCUUUACAGUCAGUGGAGUUGCUGAAAUGCUUCCCUUAUUAGGUAUGCUAGUGAGCAUAAUGGCUGUUUGCUUGAAGCCAUUUUAAGUUGUAUGUGACUCUUGAGGUUCUAAUGACUGUGAAAAGCACUGGAAGCAACAUACAGGCAUGUGCCAAGCUAGCUCUAACCUCACUGAGGUCUUGCCCUCCCUAUUUGUUUAAAACCUGGUAUUCUCUGUCUCUUACCUGAUGAAAGUCUGAUCAUUUUUAGUAGACAAGGAUCAUAUGGUUCCAGUCAUAUUCUAGUAAAAGUGGUAUUAGGAGGAAGUUAGGUACAGAUAACUUGGCCACAAUAAGACCCUUGUGUGCUGGGGCUCUAGAGAUUAGACACUGUUUACACAUGGCAGGGAUUAGACAGCCCGACAUCUCAUGGUUGUAAUUAUUAACACUUCAGGCAUGCUUCUGCUAAUAUCUAAGUGACCUUUGAAAAUGCAUUACCACUGUAUUACAUCCCAAGGAAGAAGCUAGAUUGUUUUCUAGUUAUAUUUAAGUUCACUAGAUGCCUUGAGGUUUGCUUUAUUGGGAAUACACUAGAAUUUGGAUCAGAAAGCUUUAGCCAAAUUAUGCCAAGCUUUUAAUGAACAAGGACUUGAUAUUUCUGAAACCACAAAUCAUAGACUCAAGAUCAAGUCCAUUAAGUUACUGAUAAGCAUUUUUUCACACUUAACACUAGGUCCAAAAGUACUACCAAGACCUAGUUUUAACCUUUGUGAGAUGUUCAAUGUAGGUCUUCUAGCCAUUUGAAGAGUAAAGAUAUACAACCCAAAAUUUUAUGAUAUGCCCCAAGUGUUAGGAGCUGAGUGACAGUUCAUUGUUUUUCUGUAGUACCUUAAUUCUGCAGAUUUAUUGACACACCUAUACUGAAGGUCUGUAGGCAUAUUUUAAAAAGCUUACUAUUUCCAGCUAGAAGUUAAAGAUCGUUCUAUGCCUUUUAAAGUUAAUUCACAUCUGGAUCAAGUUAGGCCAGUUUGUUCACAAACUAUGGAGUAAGCUUGAAAAUAUGUUCAGUAAAACUCUGGUUUUAAGUCACAUACAUGAAGCAUUUCAGAAGUGUGGAUUGCUAUUAUCUGGAAGGGAACUUAAAACUUGAAUCAAACACUCUGGAGAUCUUUGUUUUCAGUCGUCCUUGCUGUCUCCCUUUUACAAGGAGAUUAU